AUUAAUGAAUUUUAGGACGUUCUUUUUAGAAGUCCGACCCUUUCAUUUUCUUACACUGUGCACACACUUCUUUUUUACACACACUUUUAACACCUUAGUAUAAGAAUGUAAUAGUCUCUUAAUUGAGCAUAAAUAAAAACAAAACUUUCAGCAACGGAUCUCUUGGCUCUCGCAUCGAUGAAGAACGCAGCGAAUUGCGAUAAGUAAUGUGAAUUGCAGAAUUCAGUGAAUCAUCGAAUCUUUGAACGCACCUUGCACUCUUUGGUAUUCCGAAGAGUAUGUCUGUUUGAGUGUCAUGAAACUCUCAACCCCCCUAUUUUGUAAUGAGAUGGGUGUGGGCUUGGAUUAUGGUUGUCUGUCGGCGUAAUUGCCGGCUCAACUGAAAUACACGAGCAACCCUAUUGAAAUAAACGGUUUGACUUGGCGUAAUAAUUAUUUCGCUAAGGACGUUUUCUUCAAAUAUAAGAGGUGCUUCUAAUUCGCUUCUAAUAGCAUUUAAGCUUUAGACCUCAAAUCAGUCAGGACUACCCGC
rnacentral:rRNA from 1 species